rnacentral:misc_RNA from 1 species
GAUCAUUACCGAGUUUACAACUCCCAAACCCAUGUGAACAUACCUACUGUUGCUUCGGCGGGAUUGCCCCGGGCGCCUCGUGUGCCCCGGAUCAGGCGCCCGCCUAGGAAACUUAAUUCUUGUUUUAUUUUGGAAUCUUCUGAGUAGUUUUUACAAAUAAAUAAAAACUUUCAACAACGGAUCUCUUGGUUCUGGCAUCGAUGAAGAACGCAGCGAAAUGCGAUAAGUAAUGUGAAUUGCAGAAUUCAGUGAAUCAUCGAAUCUUUGAACGCACAUUGCGCCCGCCAGUAUUCUGGCGGGCAUGCCUGUCUGAGCGUCAUUUCAACCCUCAUGCCCCUAGGGCGUGGUGUUGGGGAUCGGCCAAAGCCCGCGAGGGACGGCCGGCCCCUAAAUCUAGUGGCGGACCCGUCGUGGCCUCCUCUGCGAAGUAGUGAUAUUCCGCAUCGGAGAGCGACGAGCCCC